rnacentral:rRNA from 1 species
CAGUCGAGCGGAUGAGGGAGCUUGCUCCUGGAUUCAGCGGCGGACGGGUGAGUAAUGCCUAGGAAUCUGCCUGGUAGUGGGGGACAACGUUUCGAAAGGAACGCUAAUACCGCAUACGUCCUACGGGGGAAAGCAGGGGACCUUCGGGCCUUGCGCUAUCAGAUGAGCCUAGGUCGGAUUAGCUAGUUGGUGAGGUAAUGGCUCACCAAGGCGACGAUCCGUAACUGGUCUGAGAGGAUGAUCAGUCACACUGGAACUGAGACACGGUCCAGACUCCUACGGGAGGCAGCAGUGGGGAAUAUUGGACAAUGGGCGAAAGCCUGAUCCAGCCAUGCCGCGUGUGUGAAGAAGGUCUUCGGAUUGUAAAGCACUUUAAGUUGGGAGGAAGGGUUGUAGAUUAAUACUCUG